GGUAGCGUGGCCGAGUGGUCUAAGGCGUUGGAUUUAAGCAGCCCGACAGCUGAUAUGCUUCCCAAUGGAGGAAACUCCGCGCGAGUUCGAACCUCGCCGCUACCA
rnacentral:tRNA from 1 species